rnacentral:rRNA from 1 species
ACGUAGGUGGCAAGCGUUGUCCGGAAUUACUGGGUGUAAAGGGAGCGCAGGCGGGGAGGCAAGUCAGCUGUGAAAUACACGGGCUUAACCCGUGAAUUGCAGUUGAAACUGCUUUUCUUGAGUGGAGUAGAGGUAGGCGGAAUUCCGAGUGUAGCGGUGAAAUGCGUAGAUAUUCGGAGGAACACCAGUGGCGAAGGCGGCCUACUGGGCUCUAACUGACGCUGAGGCUCGAAAGUGUGGGGAGCAAACAG